GUGCCAGCAGCCGCGGUAAUACGGAGGGUGCAAGCGUUAUCCGGAUUUAUUGGGUUUAAAGGGUGCGUAGGCGGCAAUUUAAGUCAGUGGUGAAAUCCUGCAGCUCAACUGUAGAACAGCCAUUGAAACUGAAUUACUUGAGUAAUCUUGAGGUAGGCGGAAUGUGUAGUGUAGCGGUGAAAUGCUUAGAUAUUACACAGAACACCGAUUGCGAAGGCAGCUUACUAAGGAUUUACUGACGCUGAUGCACGAAAGCGUGGGGAUCAAACAGGAUUAGAAACCCUCGUAGUCC
rnacentral:rRNA from 1 species